rnacentral:rRNA from 1 species
GCGGACAGAUGGGAGCUUGCUCCCUGUAUGUUAGCGGCGGACGGGUGAGUAACACGUGGGUAACCUGCCUGUGAAACUGGGAUAACUCCGGGAAACCGGGGCUAAUACCGGAUGCUUGUUUGAACCGCACGGUUCAGACAUAAAAGGUGGCUUCGGCUACCACUUACAGAUGGACCCGCGGCGCAUUAUCUAUUUGGUGAGGUAACGGCUCACCAAGGCGACAAUGCGUAGCCCACCUGAGAGGGUGAUCGGCCACACUGGGACUGAGACACGGCCCACACUCCUACGGGAGGCAGCAGUAGGGAAUCUUCCCCAAUGGACGAAAGUCUGACGGAGCAACGCCGCGUGAGUGAGGAAGGUUUUCGGAUCGUAAAGCUCUGUUGUUAGGGAAAAAAAAGUGCCGUUCAAAUAGGGCGGCACCUUGACGGUACCUAACCAAAAAGCCACGGCUAAAUACGUGCCAGCAGCCGCGGUAAUACGUAGGUGGCAAGCGUUGUCCGGAAUUAUUGGGCGUAAAGGGCUCGCAGGCGGUUUCUUAAGUCUGAUGUGAAAGCCCCCGGCUCAACCGGGGAGGGUCAUUGGAAACUGGGGAACUUGAGUGCAAAAAAGGAGAGUGGAAUUCCCCGUGUAGCGGUGAAAUGCGUAGAGAUGUGGAGGAACACCAGUGGCGAAGGCGACUCUCUGGUCUGUAACUGACGCUGAGGGAGCGAAAGCGUG